CGCUCUGAGGGCGGAGCAUGAGCUGCAUGAAGCGCUUCUGUCACGAGAGUCGGUCACAUGACAGGCUUCACACACUCUCUCUGUGUGUGUGUGUGUGUGUGUGUGUGUUUGAGGUGUGUCGGCUGCUGUAGCUGAAGAUGUCAGAGGAGAGGAGUUCUUCAGCGCAGACGGAGGAAGACGAGGAUCUGUUCGUCAGCGCGAUGCAGUCUCCAGAAGCAGCUCGUCUGUCUGCAGAAGACCUCAGUCCCAGCUCAAACGGACCCCGAGACGAUGACCCCGAUGACCUCUUCGCCGAAGCGACGGAGGAAGUGUCUCUGGACAGUCCAGAGCGUCAGCCGAUCCUGUCAGACGGACCGUCUCCAGCCAUCACACCGGUCAGCAUCAGCCCCAGAGUGGACGUGUUUGACCGCUCGCCGGACCUGGAUGAAGAAGAAGAGGAAAACAGGGACACGUUUGACAUCCAGAUCUCAGUUUCUGACCCUGAGAAAGUUGGUGACGGCAUGAAUGCGUUCAUGAUCUAUAAAGUGACGACUAAAACCGGUCUGUCCAUAUUCAGCAGAGACGAGGUGUGUGUCAAGAGGCGCUUCAGUGAUUUUCUGGGUUUGCACAGUAAACUAGCCUCCAAGUACAUGCACAUGGGCUUCAUCGUUCCUCCUGCACCUGAGAAGAGCAUUGUGGGAAUGACGAAGGUCAAAGUGGGGAAAGAGGAUCUGUCAUCGGUGGAGUUUGUAGAGAAGAGAAGAUCUGCUCUGGAAAGGUAUCUGCUGAGGACGGUCAAACACCCAGCGCUGCUCAAAGACCCCAAUGUCCUGCAGUUUCUGGAGAGUUCAGAGCUGCCGCGAGCGGUUAGCACACAGGCGCUGAGUGGAGCCGGAAUAUUGAGGAUGGUAAACAAAGCAGCCGACGCUGUCAACAAAAUGACAAUCAAGAUGAAUGAAUCGGAUGCGUGGUUUGAGGAGAAACAGCAGCAGUUUGAGAAUCUGGACGUUCAGCUCAGAAAACUUCACGCUAGUGUGGAAUCACUGGUGUGUCACAGGAAGGAGCUGUCUGUGAACACGGCGGCGUUCGCUAAAAGCGCGGCUAUGCUCGGAAACUCAGAGGAUCACACGGCGCUGUCGCGAGCUCUGUCCCAGCUGGCCGAGGUGGAGGAGAAGAUCGAGCAGCUGCAUCAGGAGCAGGCGUACGCUGACUUCUACCUGAUCUCAGAGCUGCUGGGAGACUAUGUGCGGCUCAUCACCGCCGUCAGAGGAGUGUUUGACCAGCGGAUGAAAACAUGGGGCAAGUGGCAGGACGCUCAGCUGAUGCUGCAGCGCAAGAGAGAAGCCGAAGCCAAACUACAGUACGCCAACAAACCUGAGAAACUGCAGCAGGCCCGAGACGAGAUCAGAGAGCUCCGAUCACCUGACAGCUGCAGGAAUUCAUGACAGUUAUUGAUUCUUUUAAGCACGAAACAUUUCCAGCCUUUUUAAUUUCUGCAUUUUCCCCGUCACGCCCCACAAAGGAGAUCGAGGAGUGGGAAGGUAAAGUGCAGCAGGGGGAAAGAGAUUUUGAGCAGAUCUCGAGAAACAUCCGGCGAGAGGUUGGUCAGUUCGAGAAAGAGCGAGUGAAGGAUUUCAGAGUCGUCAUCAUUAAAUAUCUGGAGUCCCUCGUUCACUCACAGCAGCAGGUA